rnacentral:tRNA from 1 species
AUAGCUCAGUUGGUAGAGCGGAGGAAUGUUAGGUGUUAAAAUUGGUCAUCCUUAUGGUGCUGGUUCAAAUCCGGCU